rnacentral:rRNA from 1 species
GACAGAGGGUGCGAACGUUGUUCGGAAUUACUGGGCGUAAAGCGCGUGUAGGCGGCAGCGUAAGUCGGGCGUGAAAUCCCACGGCUCAACCGUGGAAGUGCACUCGAAACUGCGCAGCUAGAGUCCUGGAGAGGAAGGUGGAAUGCUUGGUGUAGAGGUGAAAUUCGUAGAUAUCAAGCGGAACACCGGUGGCGAAGGCGGCCUUCUGGACAGUGACUGACGCUGAGGUGCGAAAGCGUGGGGAGCAAACAGG